ensembl:lncRNA
CGAUUUAAAUGCAAACCAAUAAUCCUUUUCUGCCGCUAAGUCUACUUUACUUUACCUUUCUCGCUGUCGUUGAGGGGCUAAUGCAUCUUACUGUUGUUUGUUUAAGCAUGAGUUAUUGAAAUGUACAUCCCCUCUGACUACAGCGUGGUGCACAAUGCAGUUGUUUAAAGCUGUAUACUCACAUGCUGUCUGUAGAGUGAGACUUCCACAAAGGCAAACCUGAGGACACCUAAAAGGUAACAGCCACAUGUCACACCUGCAGGAUGCUGUUUUGAAGGAAGCAUCGACCUUGUCGCCACCUUGACGGGUCACAGGCAGGAGGAGGCGGCGAGGACUGGGAGGAGAGGUGGCCAACGGGCGCUGCGGUGGGAACCCAGCCAGAAAGGGGAACAACACAGUCGCACACACACACACAUCAGACACACGUAUGCAUGUCGGUGUGAGCUAGAAUGGCACACACACACACACACACACACACACGCGCACACCAGCAGAGGCACACAAAAGCACGUAAACACACACCGCCCCAGGUGGCAGAUGCUGGCAUACAGCGCCUUACCUGAUGAUGCUGUAUGCAUCAACGAGCACAUCCAAAAUAAUGCAAUGUUUACCCA